UGAAAACUGAAUCAUAAAGAGAUUAAGUACAUCCUCCUGAUAGCCCAGUUGGAAAGAGGGAGUCAAGAUCUAAACAUAAGCUCUCAGACUCUCAAUCUCUUACUUUUUAACCCCACUCCAUCAUGGUGUCAAACCAUUUACUUUCUUGGUUUUAUCAUUGUAUUGCAUUGCUCUACUUUUGUUCACGUCCUUACUGUUUUUGUGUUUUUUUUUAUGUUUUGGCUGUCUCCCUCAUAAUGACUGCUUUCACUACCAAGGCAAUUCUGCCAGGAGAUUCCUCCAUUACUCCUCAACAUUCCCCUGAAGUUGAUGUUUGAGGGGACAUUAAACCUUCUGGAUUUGGUUGUAGAAUAGGCACAGUGACAAUCUUGAAAUUUACUUCCAGGUUCAGAGAUAAUCUACAUGAUCAAAAUGAACAAAACUAUCUCUUUUACCUUUGUUCAGAAUCUCAAUCUAUGGCUUUCUCAUUUUCUCAAAGCAUGUUGUAAAUAAAAUAGAGCUUCUCCUGCAGUUAUUAAUCAGUUGGUUUUUGUGUAAACAAUUCCACAAACAAAUUCACUCAGCCCUAUUUAAUAACUUAAGAAUUGUUUUUGUAUGCUAAAAAUCCAAAUAAAUAUUAAUAUAAUUCUAUAAUUACGAAUUUAUAAACAAACUGAAAAUUCUAAAAUUGCAGUGUGCUUUAUAAACUGACCACAAGAAAGGACUAAGAAUAAUUGAAAAAAAUACUGAUGCUUGUGCCUAUGUAAAAGUAAAGAAAGUAAACAAAUCAUUAAAUUGCUUUGCUAGAGGAGUGAAAUGUAAAUCCACGGAGAUGGUAUUUUUAUCACUACAAAGAGACAUUGUUUGGAUUUCACCAAACAAUGUCUUUCAGCAAAACUUUUUUCUCUCAGCAAAACUGUUCACCACAGACCAGUAAUUACCCUUGAGGGCCUUUGGUGAGAAUUGAAUUUUCAUUCAAUAAGGUUGACACUGGGUCUGGAGGGUAAGGGAGUAAAGCUAGCUGUUUGUAAAUUAAAUUAUGAGGAUAAAAUAAAGAUGCUAGGCUUGUCACUCUGUCAGUUAAAUGGGAUAUUAUUGAAGCUUUGGAUAGGUAGUGACAAAAACAGCUCUUUAUCCUUCCCCUUUUGUCUUGUUGAAUUUAUGGACGUAAAGAUGUAAAAAAAUCUUAAAUUUGAGCUUAGAUUUCUUUUUCUAGCAACAAAACAGUUUGAGUAUAUUCACCAACAGGUAUCAUCUUUAUUAAUAGAAAUAUGUAUUGUAAAAGCAUUACAUAAUAUAUAAUCCAAUUAAUUCCUUGAAAUAUUCAAUAUGCAUGUCUUAUAUAAUGUAAGAGGGAGAACAUAGCUUAUUAUUUGACCAUAUUAUUUAUGUACACCUAAUUUAA
rnacentral:lncRNA from 10 species